rnacentral:rRNA from 1 species
UACGUAGGGUGCAAGCGUUAAUCGGAAUUACUGGGCGUAAAGCGUGCGCAGGCGGCUAUGUAAGUCAGGUGUGAAAUCCCCGGGCUUAACCUGGGAACUGCAUUUGUGACUGCAUAGCUAGAGUACGGCAGAGGGGGAUGGAAUUCCGCGUGUAGCAGUGAAAUGCGUAGAUAUGCGGAGGAACACCAGUGGCGAAGGCGGCGAUCUGGGAAGAUACUGACGCUGAGGUGCGAAAGCGUGGGGAGCAAACAGG